rnacentral:ncRNA from 1 species
UUCUAAGGCGCUUGAGAGAACUCAGGAGAAGGAACUCGGCAAAUUGACACCGUAACUUCGGGAGAAGGUGUGCCUCUGUCGGUGUAGGACUUCGCGUCCGAAGCUGAUAGAGGUCGCAGAGAAUAGGUGGCUGCGACUGUUUAACAAAAACACAGCUCUGUGCCAACACGAAAGUGGACGUAUACGGAGUGACGCCUGCCCGGUGCUGGAAGAUUAAAUGAUGGGGUGCAAGCUCUUGAUUGAAGUCCCAGUAAACGGCGGCCGUAACUAUAACGGUCCUAAGGUAGCGAAAUUCCUUGUCGGGUAAGUUCCGACCCGCACGAAUGGCGUAACGAUGGCCACACUGUCUCCUCCUGAGACUCAGCGAAGUUGAAAUGUUUGUGAAGAUGCAAUCUACCCGCUGCUAGACGGAAAGACCCCGUGAACCUUUACUGUAGCUUUGCAUUGGACUUUGAACAGACUUGUGUAGGAUAGGUGGGAGGCUAUGAAGUACGGACGCUAGUUCGUAUGGAGCCGUCCUUGAAAUACCACCCUGGUGUGUUUGAGGUUCUAACCUUGGUCCGUGAUCCGGAUCGGGGACAGUGCAUGGUAGGCAGUUUGACUGGGGCGGUCUCCUCCCAAAGUGUAACGGAGGAGUUCGAAGGUUACCUAGGUACGGUCGGAAAUCGUGCUGAUAGUGCAAUGGCAAAAGGUAGCUUAACUGCGAGACCGACAAGUCGAGCAGGUGCGAAAGCAGGACAUAGUGAUCCGGUGGUUCUGAAUGGAAGGGCCAUCGCUCAACGGAUAAAAGGUACUCCGGGGAUAACAGGCUGAUUCCGCCCAAGAGUUCACAUCGACGGCGGAGUUUGGCACCUCGAUGUCGGCUCAUCACAUCCUGGGGCUGUAGCCGGUCCCAAGGGUAUGGCUGUUCGCCAUUUAAAGUGGUACGUGAGCUGGGUUCAAAACGUCGUGAGACAGUUUGGUCCCUAUCUGCAGUGGGCGUUGGAAGUUUGACGGGGGCUGCUCCUAGUACGAGAGGACCGGAGUGGACGAACCUCUGGUGUACCGGUUGUGACGCCAGUCGCAUCGCCGGGUAGCUAAGUUCGGAAGAGAUAACCGCUGAAAGCAUCUAAGCGGGAAACUUGCCUGAAGAUGAGACUUCCCUGGAGGCUUGACCUCCCUGAAGAGUCGUUCGAGACCAGGACGUUGAUAGGUCGGGUGUGGAAGCGCUGUGAGGCGUUAAGCUAACCGAUACUAAUUGCUCGUGAGGCUUGAUCCU